GAUGAACGCUGGCGGCGUGCUUAACACAUGCAAGUCGAACGAUGAAGCCCAGCUUGCUGGGUUGAUUAGUGGCGAACGGGUGAGUAACACGUGAGUAACCUGCCCUUAACUCUGGGAUAAGCCUGGGAAACUGGGUCUAAUACCGGAUAGGAGCGUCCACCGCAUGGUGGGUGUUGGAAAGAUUUAUCGGUUUUGGAUGGACUCGCGGCCUAUCAGCUUGUUGGUGAGGUAAUGGCUCACCAAGGCGACGACGGGUAGCCGGCCUGAGAGGGUGACCGGCCACACUGGGACUGAGACACGGCCCAGACUCCUACGGGAGGCAGCAGUGGGGAAUAUUGCACGAUGGGCGCAAGCCUGAUGCAGCGACGCCGCGUGAGGGAUGACGGCCUUCGGGUUGUAAACCUCUUUCAGUAGGGAAGAAGCGAAAGUGACGGUACCUGCAGAAGAAGCACCGGCUAACUACGUG
rnacentral:rRNA from 1 species